rnacentral:rRNA from 1 species
UUUUGGGAAAUCUGACAGCUUAACUGUUAGGCUUCCAAAGGAUACUGUCAGACUUGGGACCGGGAGAGGUAAGAGGUACUACAGGGGUAGGAGUGAAAUCUUGUAAUCCCUGUGGGACCACCAGUGGCGAAGGCGUCUUACCAGAACGGGUCCGACGGUGAGGGACGAAAGCUGGGGGCACGAACCGGAUUAGAUACCCGGGUAGUCCCAGCCGUAAACGAUGCUCGCUAGGUGUCAGGAAUGGUGCGACCGUUUCUGGUGCCGUAGGGAAGCCGUGAGGCGAGCCACCUGGGAAGUACGGCCGCAAGGCUGAAACUUAAAGGAAUUGGCGGGGGAGCACUACAACGGGUGGAGCCUGCGGUUUAAUUGGACUCAACGCCGGAAAACUCACCGGGGGCGACAGCAAUAUGUAGGUCAGGCUAAAGACCUUACCCGAAUCGCUGAGAGG